AGGGUACACGGCUCGGCAGGUGGCGCUGGAGACGAUGGCGAUGUUGAGGCACUGCAGCUUGUCUGGGAAUGGGCCUGGGGGUGGAAGCUACUGUGUGACCUUCGACCUUCAGUCUUAUCAUCCUUUGAUCCCAACUGGACCUCACGUCUUCUGUCUCCUGACCCCGUAUUCCUUGUCUUCACCUUACGCUCCAACUUCAGUUCUGCUUCCUCUAAAUCACUGGUCUCUAUUCCAAGGUGACCUCUGACCCUAGGUUAUUUGAACCCUGACUCCAUGACCCCUAGCCUCUGCCUCCACACUCGAAACUCUAUGGCUUCCAAUCCCAGAUCCAUGACCCCUAAUCUCCAUCCUGAGACUGUGGCCAGCUGCUGUAACAUGUGGGUCCCAUGGCCUCAACUCUUCAAUGACGUUGACCAACCCCUGUCCUAUCCUAUAUAAUAAAAGCCUAAUAUGCUAAGUG